UUUUCCUUUUUUUGUUGCCGAAGGUCUCCACUCUCCAGAACGACUGACCGUCGCCAGUCAUUCUUCCGGACUGCCACUUUUUCGAAAGUUUUCCGGCCGUUGGAUUCUGGUUUCUCUUUGCUCUUCCUUCCUAACGUAUGACGUCGUUUAUUUUUUAACUAUUAUUUGGAAUUUUGUAAUCAAGUUAUUUCAUUAUUUAUAUUUUUUACUAACAUUAUUUAUAAUUUGACUAAUUAAUAAAUAAAAAAUUAAUAUAGCACCUGAAUUUUAAUGAAAUUAAAUAGAUAAUUUAUAAUUUUUUAAAUCAAUUAAAACAUUUUUUAUUAUCUUAAAAUAUAAUUAUUUGAUCUUUCAAUUAAUACUAGCUUCAUUCUACAAUAUCUAUCAUUUAAAUUUUAUUCACUUAAGCUAAUAAAGUUUAAUAAAUAAUAUUAACUUUUAAAAAUUUAUAAUAAUUUAUUUAAAAUACCUUUUAAAUUAAUUUUUUUAUACAUUGAUAUUAAAUAAUUUAAAAACCAGUAAAAACACAUACAAAAGAUAAAAAUUAAUAUUAGUUUAUACAGGUAGGACGAUUUGUAUAGUUUAAAUUAAUAAAAAAUUCUCAUUUUAAUUUAACUAUUUUUUAUUAAAAAAUAAUUUAGUAUUUAAAAUAUUAAUCUCCCAGUAGAAUAGUAUAGUUAAAAAAAUAUUUAUCGUAUUUGUAUUGAGAGAAAGAAAUGUCUCUCUUUUUAUUACAUUUAUUUUCUGCCAUUUUUUACAUGCCUUUUAUAUGCUCAUUUUGCUUUUCUAGACUUAAGGAGUCUCCUUCAAGCCUGAAAAAUAAGUGUGGGUUAUUUAAAGAAUCUAACCCACAUGUGUGUUUUAGUUAUUGUUUUGUAGACUUUUCUAACCGAUCAAUUUUUAUUUGAACUGAUUUUAUAUGGACAAAUAGUGUAAAUAAAAAUAGUGUACUGAUGUGGAUUGUAGCUUUGUUGUCAAAAAAUAACAGAAUUGGAGUUUGAAUUGAAAUAUUCAAAUAGAUAGGAGAGCCAUUUCAAUUUACAAACAACAUACGCCAUGCUUUUGUACUCUGUUUCUACAGUAGACCUGCUUGCUAUAGUUUACUUUUUUUAUUUCUAAGAGAUGAGGGAUUUGCUAAGAAAUACAUAAAACCCUGUAAUGGAACAUCUGGAAUCAGUACAGGAUGCCUAGUCUACAACUGCAUAUGCAGUAAGUUCAAAAGAGUUCUAAGCUGGGAAAAAAGCCUUCAGAUGGAUAAGUUUUUAGGUACUUGAGGACAUGGAUAGCAACAUCCUAGUGAAUAUCAGGUGGAGCCUUUAUAUACUGACUUAAUUUUUGCACAACAAAGGAUAAUUAGGUCUUAAGAGAUUGAGAUACAAAAGUAUGCUAAUGGGUCUUCAAUACCUUUCUGGUUUUUGUAGCAAAUGACUACAAUUAUUAGAAAGUUUGAGCCCUUUAGGUAAGGGAACAUGAGCAAGUUUGGCAGAUGUGAGACCAACAUCUUUAAUGAUGUCAUUGAUGUAUUUCUGUUGAUUCAUGACUCGCGGUUGUCGAGACCGGUCAAAAAUAACCUUUCUGAUUAUCAACAAUAUUACAACUGCAGAUAGUGGUGAAAGAAUCGAAUCCAAGGGGGGUUUGGAGAUUGAUUCAGUUAAUCUAAUAAAGAAAAUAAUAAAAUAAAGCAAGUAAUUAAAAGAAAGAAAAUCAAAUAUGAGAAAUGUCUAGUUGAAGAAUUGGAUCCAUAUUUCAGUUGUUGGGAUUGAUCAUUGAUACUUAGGUUCUUUUGUUUGAUUCAAUAAAUUAGUUAUGGAGAUGGAAGACGUUUCUCACCACCAUGUCUCUCCUUAAUCGUAAAUUAAUUAGGGAACGUCCUCUAACCAAUUACUAAUCAACAAGUUGCCAAGGAACGUCUUUGGAUCUUAAGUAUCAAAACAACUGUCAAUUGCGUUAAGAAAUAGAGAGAUCUAAUUCUAACUACCCAAACGCAUGGAGAUAUCGCUAAAUCAUGCAAUUUCCUUAGUUUUUACACCAAGUGUCCUUGUGUUUGAACAAUCCAAGCAAUUACGGACUUAAAACUAUUCAAGCUAACAAUAUAUCACCUUGCAAUCAAGAAUCAAUUGGCCACAUUGAUCAAAAUAACAAAGCAAUAAUGGAAUCAAGCAUGAAAUUGCACAAAUAUUGAAUAAACCAAAGUUAAAAAAUGUAUGUUCAGAUCUCCCAAUCCAUAAAACAACUAAAGUUUCAACCAAUCUUCAACUAGAAAUAAAGGUUUCAGCCACUCAUGGCUGAAACAAAACCAAAAAAUAAAGAAAAGAAGAAGAAGAGAAGGAGGCCGAAGCCUUGUGAUGGAGAGAGUAGGCGGCGAUUGUGUAACGACCCGAAAAUUGAACCGCUACCGGCGCUAGGAUCCAGAUCGGCUUAAGGCUGCCGGGACCCGUAGCAAGCCUAACAUACCUCCUGUACACCUGUUAAAUCCCAUACAUGAUCAAAUAUAUACAUAAAAACUUUAAACUUUUCUUUCAUUUACCAAGCUUAACCUGUGCAUGCACAUAACCAUAAACAUAAAACCCCACACUGGAGCCUUCAUCAAAUGCUCCAAUGGGGUAACAUAUCAUACAUUAAGCUUGGUUUACAUAAAACGUUACAUAGAUCAUGUAUACAAAAGGGAUUAAUCAUACAUACUAGGGUCAAGCACAAUUAUAAUCCUCAAUAUCAUCAUUACAUUACAUGACUGUUCAACACUUUACAUUACAACAUUUUCAUGUCCACAUCUAACUAUUACAUAAACAUGACUUUACUCUUGCUGACAUCCUGGUCUAUCCCGUACCUGCACACCUGGGGGUUAAGGGAAUGGGGUGAGCUAAAAAGCCCAGUGAGCAGAACCAUAAAACAUUAUCAUAAGUCAUGCUUUCAUGUAAUGCAUCACAACACAUACAAUUCACAUCACGGAUGGACUUGUCACCAAUAACCCUCUAAUUCCAAUGUGCCCGGCCCUUGACGGAGCUCCGCGGGACUUCCUCUUAAUCAUCACUGAUCAAGCAUAAUUUAGCCACAUUUUUAUCAUAAUUAUUAUUGCUUAUUUACACAUUUUUUAGUUUAAUUUAUGGUUUUUAUCUUGUUUUUACAGAAAAGGAAGAAAUUGGAAAAUUGGAGAAAAAGUGCAGAAAAUUUACAAAAAGGUGAUCUGCCCAGUGAUUUGCCCAAAAAUCUGCUCCAAUCACUGCUCUGAUCAAGCUAAGGCAGAAACCCGGAGGCAACAGAUAGCAGUGAUAUGGGCAGUGAUUUGCCCAAGAAACUCGAAGAUCACUGGUCAAAUCACUCGCAGAGACACAGAGGACUGACUCACAGAGAAGCGAUCUGGUCAGUGAUUUGCCCAAUCACUUGAAGAAACUGGUCAAAGCACCGGGCAAAUCACUUUGACAGCAGAAAAUUGCAGCAGAGCGGGAAAAUUGCAGCAGAGCGGGAAAAUUGGCAGCAAACAGAAAUCUGAAUUUUCAGAAGUCCAAAUCCAAUCCAAUCACUUCCAACACAAAUCCAAGAGCCACGAAAGAGCUUCUCAUCCAAGGAAAUCCAAUUGCAAUUAAAUUCAACAUCAAAAGAGGAGUCCAACACCAAAUCAAAAAGGGAUUUCAAAACCCUAGAUGAGAGAAUUCUUCAGCUAUAAAAGGAGGACUUCCAAACCAGAAAAUCAUCUUCUGAUCAGGAACUCAGCACCUUCUCCCUCGCCAGAAACUCUUCAGCUGUUCUUUCUUUUCUUUUUCUUUUCAUCUUUUUGUGUAUUUAGUCCACUAUGAGUGGCUAAACUCCUUAUUUUCUAGUUGAAGUUGAGAAUAUUCAGAUUUGUUAUGAAUUGGGAGGUUUAAUACUCCAUUGUUGAACUCUUAUUUGUUUCAAUAUUUAUGCAAUCUGAUCUUUUCUACAAGUAUUACUUUGCUUUUAGAAUCAAUAAGGGCCCAUUGCUUUUAAAUUGCUUGAGUAAUAUUGUUUGAAUGGUUUAGGUCCGUAAUUGCUUGGAUUGUUCAAAUACACAUUCAAUCAGGUUGCAUAAUCUAAACUUGACCACGCGGUUGGCAAGGAUAGAAUUGGGUUUCUCUAAGUCUUAAUGCAAUCAACAGUUGUUCGAUGCUACAAUGCCCCAAGGACGUUCCUUGGCAACUUGUUGAUUAGUGUUUGAUUAGCGAACGUUUCCUAAUCAAACUAGAACUAAGGAGGAAUUUGGAUUGUGAGAAGCGUCUUCCACAACCAAAACUAAUUUAUUGAAAUCAAAAAGGAGUCUUCAAAUAAUCAAUGAUCAAUUCUGAACAAACUGAAUUAGACUCAUACUUCAACUAGAAGCCUUUCUCUUAUUGAUUUAUUCAUCUUUAAAUUACUGCUUUCUUUUACUAUUUAGUGUUAAUCCAUCAACUCAAAACCCCCCCUCUUUUAUUUACUUGUUAUUUACUUUACCUUGGUCAUUAUUAGGAAGGUCUUUAGUGUCAAUUCCAUGUGGUUCGACCCUAUUGCCACUAUCUGCAAAUUUAUUU
rnacentral:lncRNA from 1 species